AUUGAACGCUGGCGGCAGGCCUAACACAUGCAAGUCGAACGAACUCUUCGGAGUUAGUGGCGGACGGGUGAGUAACACGUGGGAACGUGCCUUUAGGUUCGGAAUAACUCAGGGAAACUUGUGCUAAUACCGGAUGUGCCCUUCGGGGGAAAGAUUUAUCGCCUUUAGAGCGGCCCGCGUCUGAUUAGCUAGUUGGUGAGGUAAAGGCUCACCAAGGCGACGAUCAGUAGCUGGUCUGAGAGGAUGAUCAGCCACAUUGGGACUGAGACACGGCCCAAACUCCUACGGGAGGCAGCAGUGGGGAAUCUUGCGCAAUGGGCGAAAGCCUGACGCAGCCAUGCCGCGUGAAUGAUGAAGGUCUUAGGAUUGUAAAAUUCUUUCACCGGGGACGAUAAUGACGGUACCCGGAGAAGAAGCCCCGGCUAACUUCGUGCCAGCCGCCGCGGUAAAAC
rnacentral:rRNA from 1 species